CCCAACUGCGCCUGCGCUCCGGAUGGUGUCACCAUGUUCCCCUUCCCCUGCUGCACGUGGGCCUCGGUGUCCCCACUACUGUCUUCCCUCCCGGCUCGCGUGCGACCGCGAGUCCGCCCCCUCCGUUCCUCUGCAGGGAAGCGGAAGUGCCUCCACCGGAAGUGCCGGGACAGGACGGGAGGGUAGCGGCCCGAUCGGGAUCCAGCCAGCAUGGGGCGGCCGCGGUGAUGGAGGAGAGAAGGCGCUGGAGCCGGUAAUCAACUGGUAUUCUAGCAUGGACACUGUUGCUAGCCACAGUUGUCAUCUUCUCCAGCAGCUACAUGAACAGCGCAUUCAAGGCCUUCUCUGUGACUGCAUGUUGGUAGUAAAAGGCGUCUGCUUCAAAGCACAUAAAAAUGUAUUAGCUGCUUUCAGUCAGUAUUUCAGGACCCUAUUUCAGAAUUCACCAGGCCAGAAGAAUGAUGUCUUUCACUUGGACAUUAAAAAUGUAGGUGGCAUAGGCCAGAUCUUGGACUUCAUGUACACUUCACACCUUGAUCUUAGCCAGGACAAUGUACAAGCUAUGUUGGAUAUUGCACAAUGUCUGCAAGUGCAAAAUGUGCUGAAUAUUUGCCACACUUUUUUAAAAUCCUCCACAGCUGUAGAGCCUCCUGCCAGCAUGCCUUGCAAUAGUGUUUUCUCCUUGCAAAGUACUUUGGCUACAGAGACUAACUGUGUGAAUGAAAAUUAUGAUACUAACUUACUGCAUGAAUGCUCAUCAGAUGCACAAGCGAGUAAAGUGUUGGAUGACAACCAUUCCCACGGAUCACAAUCUAUUAAUCUUCAUACUUCCUCAGGUGAUGUACAGAAACAGACACAGGACUCCUUAGAUGGUAAUUGCACUGAACUCCCAUUUAAACAGCCAAAUUACUACUAUAAACUGCGCAACUUUUAUAGCAAGCAGUUCUACAAGCAGAAUGCAUGUUCCAACCAUGAGAGAAUAACAGAACAGUCCUUUGCUUUCAAUACAUCUACUGAAAUAAGUACGGUAGAGAGCAAUUCUUCUACUGUCAGUCAAUCUGAAUGUAUUUUGGAAUCCUCUGAUCACUUACCAUCCAACUUUCUGGUUCAGUCCUUGAAUGAUUCUGCUCCAGACCAAGAUUUGGAAAGCACAUCCUUGCAGCCUACCAAACAGAUGCGGUUGAAAAAGGCAAUACACCUUAAAAAACUGAAUUUUCUAAGAUCACAGAAGUCUGCAGAACAAUUGUCUGAACCUAAGAGAGAUAACAACAGUAUAACAAGGGUAAUUGAAUCUGUAAAUGAAAGUACCAUGGAGAUGACAAAUAUUAAUGCUGUUGAAGAAAAAGAAACUGAAGACCUUGUGAGUUCGGAGAGUUUUGAACAAACUGUUGAAAUGGAAAGAUCUCAAGGUCCUUCAGAACAAGAUGAGCAAUCACAGAUUCUUCAGUCACAGAGGCAAUAUACUUGUGAAUUAUGUGGAAAGGCUUUUAAACAUCCAAGCAAUUUGGAGCUCCAUAAAAGGUCUCAUACAGGUGAGAAACCUUUUGAAUGUAACAUUUGUGGGAAACACUUCUCACAGGCAGGUAACCUACAGACUCAUUUACGUCGGCACUCUGGUGAAAAACCAUAUAUUUGUGAAAUCUGUGGGAAAAGGUUUGCUGCUUCUGGUGAUGUACAGCGUCACAUUAUUAUUCAUUCUGGAGAAAAACCUCAUUUGUGUGAUAUUUGUGGCAGAGGGUUUAGUAACUUUAGUAACUUAAAGGAACACAAAAAGACCCAUACAGCAGAUAAAGUAUUCACCUGCGAUGAGUGUGGAAAGUCAUUUAACAUGCAACGGAAGUUGGUAAAGCACAGAAUUAGGCACACAGGAGAAAGACCAUACAGCUGUUCAGCAUGUGGAAAAUGUUUUGCAGGGUCUGGUGACCUACGUAGACAUGUGCGGACUCAUACAGGAGAAAAGCCCUAUACAUGUGAGACCUGUAACAAAUGCUUCACUCGUUCUGCUGUUCUGCGGCGGCACAAGAAAAUGCACUGCAAAUCCAGUGAUGAGGGACCAAAUACAUUAGAAGAAUUUACUCAGGCAAUUGAAACGUCUGAUCUUGAGAAAUCUCAGGGUUCCGACGCGUUUGCCCAAGAAAUGUCUGUUACUUUGUUACCAGUAUCUGUUAAAUUUCCUGUUCGUCCAGCUGGAAAUUCAGCUAAUGAAUUUGAUAGUUCUGCAGGAUCUUAUUGCAAGUUGCGGUCAAUGAUUCAACAUCAUGAGUCUACAAUCCAACAGAAAUUGAGUCUGGAUCCCGCUGAACUCCCAAAACCUCAGACGCAACAAACUCCUCAGCCACCUUUCACUUACACAGAGGUAGAUGUAUCACCUGCAGAAGAACCCCUACAGUCUGAUAAUAUUUCUAUGAUUCGUUCAUCAAUGACAACCCUGGAUGGUCAUUGUGGUGACCCCCUGGGCAAUCGUGCAUCUUCUGCUGCAUAUAGGAGUAAUGAAGGACCAUUCUUUUCCAGUAUGACCCUGUGGGGCUUAGCUAUGAAGACCUUGCAGAAUGAAAGCGAGUUGGAUCAAUGAGGGUUCAUUUUACCGAUUCACAACCUUUUAGGGGAAUUGUUUUAAUUUACCAGACUAAGACCACAUAUUCCAGCUAGUGCUCACUACCUCCCAUUUAACUCUGCAUGCUGUAUCCUGCAAUGGAACUUCAGUUGUUCCAAGGCCCAGUUUCAUUAUUAAAGUGCACAAAGAUGGCUCUCGCACUGUUGCUAAAGGUACUACUAAGACAAGCAGAGCUGCGCUACAGUACGUGACGCCCUGAAACCUACUCAUGGAUUCCCAGAUGACCCUGGACCCCUGGCUGAGAACCACUGUCUUAGAGGAAACAACAGCCUUGAGCACUGCUGCAUGCACAUCGAAUGAGCACCACAUUGCACAAAGGGCAAGCUGAAGACACACUCUUCCCCCUUUUCUGCAGUCCCCUCUGCGCCCUGUUCCUGCCCAGAUGCACAAAGACUCAAUUCAGACUUGCUACCAGGUUAUGAAUUAUGGAGUGCUGUUUGAGGCUCCUCAUAACCCACUGCAUAGUAGCAUAGCAUUUUCACUAAGGAAGUAGAGAAAAACAGCACUUUCUCAACACAGACACAAUUGGGCCUCGCAGUACAGAAGAUGGAGGAAGAGUCACAGUGGCACCAGGAAUUACUGUAACAGCACUGAGGCCCAAAAGCUAUACUUGCCGGUUUCAAGGGCCUUUGAGGAAGGGGUUGAGCAAUGGAGAGGGACAAGCUGGCGGAGGAAGGGGAGCAUUUUGCAUGCUUGGUGAGGGAAUCUGGGAAGCUAAGGGGUGAAGUAGGCACCUUCCUUUUCUUCUUUUCUGUGUGUAUGCUUCCCUGCCCCCCCCCCCACACACACUCAAGCUAUGGUGAUGCAUUCUUGUUUUGCAUUUAAAAACUCUUGUCACCCUAAAUGUGCCAUAACAAGUGCUAUUCAGUGUGUUUUAAGCAGGGUCUCUCGCUGGAAGAAUGCUUUGAAAGGGAUAGUGUUUCCUUGAAAUAUGGAAAGAAUCCUAUGAGACAAAUUAUGCAAUCCACAUGAAAGGAGCAUUUCUGAGUGUGAAUAGGAAAGGUGGUGCUACUGAAAUGAUCCUGCCUUCGGGGGAGAAAAAAGCCAAAUUAGAGAGCAGCAGCUGCAUCUUCGCUUUGAGGUGGAGACCGCACAACGAUUAUUCAGCUAGCUUUGUGGGGACAGUGUUUCUACGAGCAGAAAAUUCAUAUAGCUGCUGCUCACAUGCCUAGCCAUGCGCAUAAGCAUCAGGCACUGCUGCUAUGCUAUUAUCAUCAGUGAUUUGUUUGGGGGAGUUGUGCUUAGAGUGCAAAAGGUCAAGUACAAGAAUAUGUGUAGAUGAUGUUAGAUGAAGAGAAAGUUAGUGGUGGAAAGCCAGCCAAACUAAGUAAAGGGGGUCUAGAACUGGAUGUCUCCUAUAUCUCAGGUGAGUACAAGAAAUGUACCAGAACACCAUCUCAGGUGAGCCCUCUUCUUUCCCCACCCCCACCCUGCUGUUUUGUGUAAGCUCACCUAUAGGGGCCCAAUUUAACAGGUGAGAUCUGAGCAUGCUUAUUUGUCUGGGCCUUGCCAACAAGUUAGGUGGAGGAACGCCCCAUUCAUGGCUUGCUCAAGUGUCUGGACGCUUGGUGCGGUGAGGCAGAAAUGUAGGCAUCUUGGGAAGUUUUAAUGCAAAAAUUUAGACGUCAAAUGAAUUUAGGUGCCUAUAGAAUUCUGGGCCAAUUGAGUAGGGGUUUUGUGAAUACCGGUGGAGACUGAUUCUGGGAUUUAGAUACCUAAAGUGGAAAUUAGGUGCUUAAGUCUUUUUGUAAACCUAGAACCUAGGGCCAAAAUCACAAAGGUAUUUAGGCACCUAAAUGGAACUAGUAACCUAGGGGAUUUUCAAAGAGACCCAACUUCUUAGGUGCCCAGAUGUUUUUUAAAACCCGACUAGGCAUCUAUCAGCAUCUUUAGGCAUCUAAAUACCAUUACAAAUCUGGUCCUCAAUUUCCAGUGAAAUUGGGGUGUCUAAUUCUCUUAGGGUUUGUCUACUCACAAAAGUUAUAUUGGUUUAACUAAAACAGUCAUAGUUAUACCAGUACAACCCCUACUACGGAUGAAUUUAUAAUUCUAUAAAGGUGCUUUAUAUUAGCAUAGCUAUUCCCAUAUGGGAAAAGUAAAAAGCUAGACCAGUAUAAGGUGCCUUUAUACUGAUAUAACUGUGUCCACCCUAGGGGUUGUACUUGUAUAACUAUUCCAUUUUUUAAAAAUCAAUGAUGGUUAUAACCAGUACAAAAAUUGUAUGUAGAAUAGGCCAAAGUCUCCUUUGAAAAUCCCAGCCUGAAAGCAUCAUGGUGAGCCCACUGCUUUAAAAAGCUUUUGGGGGGGUCAUAUAGAACCUAUUUAGAUUGACGUCUUGAUAACUUUCUGCCAAAGGCAAAGAUUAGAGAUUGGAGAGAAGAUCUCCAAGAAAGUCAAGACUUUUAAAUCCAGUAUAUUGUGUUUUUUUAACAUCUUUCCAUUUGGAUCAAGACCAUUUAAUGACAUAGCAAUGGCCACACUGAAGAACAGUCAUCCAUGAACAAUGGCAGAAAAUAUCUUGUCCCUGCUGCUACUGAUCUACUGGCAAACUUUUAUACCAUUGAAAACUGGGUAUUGGUGGGUAGGUUGCGACAUUUGGCAGUAAUGAUCAAAAUAGCUCUUCAGUGGUUGAGCUCAUUCUUAUUACAAAAGGCCUCAAAGCUGGUGAUGGACACUUGCCAUGUCAUCACCUGAGUUCCCUUUGUGAGGUGCCACAAUUCCCCUGACCCCCAAUAUUCAACAUUUGGGCACACUCUUUAAGAAAGAUGUGAAUAGACUGGAAAGAGUUCAGAUGAGAGAGAGAAAAAUAUCAACAGUUUAGAAAACACGAUCUAUCAGGAAUGGUUCAAAUGACUGGGCUUAGUCUAGAGAAGGCUGAGGAAGGACCUGGUAACAGUCUUCAGGCAUGUUCAGGGCUAGUUUAAAGAGAAGGUUUCAAAGAACAGAUUAGACAGACCUGUCAGGGAUGGUCUAAGUAUACUUAAUCCUGUCUCAGUGCAGGGGGAUGAACUAAUGAUGUCUUGAAGUCCCUUCCAGCCCUAGUUUUUUUAUGAUUACAUAAUUUUAUAUAUGAGAAUACUAGGAAAUAUUCUAAAGGAUUGUAGAGGGCUGAGAUAUCACCAGUGAUACACUGCUUGUCUCUUUACCUGUUGAGCUGUCUCAGCUAUCUCAUUAACCUGUAGACUUUUUUGCUUGAGUAAGGGGCAACUGGCUCAAGUUCAAUCAGAAUUAAACUGAGGCAAUUUAGUGAAUUGAGCAAAAUGCCUAUAGGAAAUUGAGAGAUUUGUGCACCCUUCUUUUUGAGGUCCAAGGUCCAGAAUUAAGGAGCUUCAGCAUGGAAGUCCAUAUUGCACCAGUACUUCAGAUUAACUUUAAUCAUUUCCACAUACUCCAGAAGCUGUCCUUUUAUCUCUCUUUGUCCUCAAGACAAGCAUUCAGCAUUUUGCUAAUUUGCUCCUGCUUAGACUUCUCUGGAAUUCAAUGUUGCUUAUUGCAUAGGAUGUUGUGAGGAUUACUUAAUUCAUGUUUGUCUAGUGCUUUGAAUAUGGAAAGUGCUUUGCAAGUGUUCUCGGAAGCUGCAGAAUAUGGUUUUCCCCUUGUGAAGGAAGCAAAGGCAUUAAUAACAUCUGCUACCCUCAUUCUGUCUUCAGUCUAGCACUUAAGACAUCUUACUCCCCCUAUGUUCCUCUUAGGCAGUUGGAUGUCCUUGUUGUCAGUUCUGAUUCAGGAUAUUGAUUGAAGGGACUUCCUGAAUAUAUUUGGCAGAGUUAUUCUGAUGCAGUCUUUAAUUCUUGGUAUGAAGCCCUUCAAUCUGGGCCAGUUCAUUCUUGGUCAUGUCUCUUAUUUUUCACAAUCUUUUCUGUUUUGGAUAAUUCUCCUUCAAAACUCCAAAUCAUCAUAACCCACUUUGAUGUAUUUUUUAACUGGCCAGAUCAUGGGCCUUUUCAUUUUUAGCCAUUUUGAGCUAUUUUAUUUUGUUUUGUUUUUUUCUAAAAUGUCUAGUAUCUGAUGCCUCUGAUGGGACCUUUAUAAAAUAAUAUAAAAUAGGAACAUAUAAUAUAAAAAUUAGCAAUUAAAUAAAUUACCAUCAGUUAUGAAUAUUUUAUUGAAGACAAGGAGAAAAGAUUUUCAAAUAUUAUUCUCUCCAAGUAUUUUGCUCUCUGGCUGCGUUACAUGAGGCAGAAAUCUGAAUAUCAGUAGUUGUGUGCUAGUUGACAUCUGUGCUGUCUGGAUUCGGCUGGCCAUGCUUUUCAUUUUUUCAACUAAUAGAACAGGAGUUAUCCCUUAAGUGACAACAUCUUGUGGGUCUAACACUUACUUUCCUCCCUGAGUUGCUACUUAUACUACCUGCUGCAUUUUUUCAGUUAUGCCUCUUCAAAGGAUCUCCACUUGCAGGGACUGUCAGUGUAAAGGAACCAAUAUGGAUUACAAGGAGAGGAGAAACUCAGCACUUUAAGCCACAAUAGGUAUCUAAUCUUAUAAAGAUGUGUACAUAUGGUACAUUCAUCACUCUGGAUAAAGGUUUUUCAUAUGCAUUUUCCAUUAAAGCAGAUGACACCAAUAUAAACCCGUGUGCAUCCAGAGUGUAGAAACAAAAUAGUAUCCUGUAGGAAUAGCAGUACAUAUUAGGUAAAAUGCCCCUACUCCUACCAGAUUGUUCAUGAGGAUUAUAAAUAAAACAGCCUCACAUCAUUUCCAGUGGCAUCCUGACAGACAUCUCCUGACUCAAUUAAUUGCUGUUUUCUAGUUAUCUUUAUUUGCAAUCCUUUUUCAAUUUUCAGUCCACUGUAUUUAAAAUUUUGCAAAAAAGUUUAAUUGCAAUAUACACUGCUGCAUUCCAUUCAUCCAUUCUAUCUAGUAAUUCAGUCACAAGAAUCUAGUUAAUCUGGCAUGAUUUGUUUAGUAGACAAACAUAUUGUUCAUUAAUCAUAAUUCCAUUGAUUUUCAAUGAGAAUUAGAAGCCUAACUCACUUAGGUGCUUUUGUAAAUCUUACUAGACCCUUACUUGCAUCUGUAGCUCUAAAGUCCAGUCCACAAGAUAAACAUAAACAGAGACAGGUGUCUAGUGGGAUUUUCAAAAGGUCCUAGGGAGGUGCAGGGCCCAGGACAUUAGCAACUCUGCACCUGUCUGCCAGAGGGUGCUCCCCCUGGCUCUGCGCAGGCCCUGCCCCCACUCCACCCCUUCCCCCAAGGCACCAUGCCUACCCUGCUUCUUCCCAUUCCCCUGAGUGUGCCACAUCCUCGCUUCUCCCCCCUCCUCUCCAGCACCUCCUGACACCAGGAAACAUCUCAUUUGUGGCAGGCAGUACGCGCUGGGAGAGAGGACGAGAUGCUGAUUGGCAGGGCCCACUGACAGGCAGGAGGCACUGGGGGUAGAUUCUAGUAGGGGGCUCCACCUUGCCCCCCUACCCCCUGCUCACCAGCCCACCUCACCUCCCCAUCCAUGGGGCCCCUCAAAGCGCAGGGCCUGGGGUGGUUGCCCUGAUUCGCCAUACCCAAGAGACAGCUCUGGUUCUAGGCAGCCAACUCCCAGUGAUUUUCUAAUGAUUUCAUUGGUAGUCAGGUGCAUAAGCACUUCUGAAAAUCCCACUAGGUACCUAUAUCUUCAGGUGUAUAAAUAUCUUAAAAUCUGAACCCUUUUGAAAAUGAAAUUUAGGCUUCUUAGGCUCUGUCUGCACUAAAGACUUCUUCUACUAUAGAUGUGUUGCUCAAGGGUGUGAAGAGGUGUGAUCUCUGACCGACAUAGCUGUACUGGCAGAAGUCCCUAGUACAGAUACUAUUAUGCCCACAAAAUUGUGCUUUCAGUUA